rnacentral:rRNA from 1 species
UCUUUUAGCCGUGCUUCUUACUCUAGGUUCCAAGUAGAGAUUGUAUGUCGGCAUUGCAUUGUGGAGUGUAAUGCCUCGUACGCGUACCACUCCCUCUACGCCUACUUCAACCGGGACAAUGUUGCCCUUAAGGGCUUUGCCAAGUUCUUUAAGGAAUCGAGCGACGAGGAGAGGGAACACGCGGAGAUGCUUAUGGAGUACCAGAACAGACGUGGAGGGCGGGUGAGGCUCCUGUCUAUCGUGACUCCAUUGACAGAGUUCGACCACUCUGAGAAAGGCGAUGCUCUGUAUGGUAAGUUUAUUUUAUAG